rnacentral:lncRNA from 1 species
CAAAGCUGCCCCUCCGUGAUUUCGCCAGAAGGUGGCACUCUGCCUCCUUCAGAAAUCAUCAGCGUCAGCUACGUGAGGGUAAAGUUGCCAAAAGUUUAGAGCACAUUUAAAAAACCAUGCUUUAGAUAAUCCACCGCUGGUGAAAAUGUUCAAUGUUACAUUAAAUAUUCAUUUAACAUUAAUGGAAAAGAACUCACAUACAUAUUAUUAGUAAUUUAAUUAUAUUUGCAUUGCCUGAAAAACUUAAUCUGAAUGGGGUUUAUGCCAGGUCUUACAUGCCUGUGGAUCUGACCCAGGAGCAGAUGAAAAGACUAUGAAUUUAAUUACAAUAACAAUUGAUCUCACUAGCUCGCCUGUUAAAGCCAGAUAAUUAUCAUUUGUGUGGUCUGAUAAGGAAUCGUUUUUUUUUUUUUUUUGGGUUCAGUGAAUCUCUCGAUGAUAAACUCUGUGCCCGACUGCAAUACUCCGGCAGACAGUGGCCCAGUGUCCUGUCUCCCCUCAAUUAACUUCAAACUGCUCUCUAUUACACGCUACAAUGAGACACGCAAUUUCAUUACCUCACACAGACCCAUCAGCGCUGCUAAUUGUUUUUCUUUUCAUUUUCAGUAUCCCUCCAUUUUCCAGUGAGUGGGUGUGAAGAUAUCCACGUCCAGGAGGAGUACAGGAGGUCUGGAGGAGGAAAAAAAAAAGGGGGGACGACUGCUUAUUGGUCCAGUAGUGAACAGAGCUGGAUGUUAGUCCACAUAACCUUCAAAGUAAAGCCGGGCGCUUGGAAACAAGGUGGGGGAAGGAAGCUGGUGGACGGAGGACGGAGCCGCGCUCAUUACGGCGCCGCGCAUUCCAGGGAAGUGAGAGAUGAGCCCGGGGGCCCGGUGCAGCUGACAGCAGCUGCAGAUUCCCGGCCCCGCGAGGCCGGCGCCGGUGCCGGAGCCGGAGACGAGCCGUUUUGGGGCCUGUGUUCCAGUGACGGCUCCUUUAUUCCUGGCUUCCAACAUGCGGCGCCAGGAGGAGCAGCAGUGACAGAAAGCUGUUUAUUUCCUCGGCCAUUAUGAAACCAAGCAUUAGAUGUCAUACUCAUGUGCGGCGCUGACAGGACCGUUACUGGAUAAUAACCCUUCCUCUCCGCUCUCCUGACUCACCAUUAAUGAAGACAGAAUUAUCGCCCGUUGAGUCACGGGCCACAUGUCGGCUGACGCGGCGACUUGUUUUCCAAGGCGUUUAUUGAGUGCAUUUUAGUACAAUAGUUUUCAGAAAGUUACAGCUUACAAACUCUGGACAUGUACUCGUCACAAUUUACAAGUGGUAGCUAUACAGAACCUCAAAAAAAAAGAACCUGUGCACAUCAGACCUGUACACAUACACAGUCUCUCUCAGACACACAUAAACAGGCUAUGACAUGUGGACACAUCUACCAUCCAUUAUGUACCAUGAAGGAAGCUUGUGGCCCGUACUCCAGAAAGAUCCCAUUUCACAUUAUCCCACUUCCACUACAGCAAUUCUUCUGAGUGUUAACAGUGUGUGUUCGGUGGUUGAUUUGUGUGUAAGUCCAGCAUCUGAAACAAAAGAGAAAAGAGAGCUUAAAAAAAAAAAAAAGUUGUUCUGGACAUUUCCAGGUGAGAACCGCUUCCGCGGUCCUGACCUAUAAACGACAGGCAUGAAAUCACCACUAAAAGGAUCGUUGGUCACUUCUCAGACAGUUACAGCGCCGUGAAACAUUUAACAAGCUCCAUUCUUGUGUUUUGUAUCGGCGCGUGAUGAAUGGCUUCCAUAUGAGACGGGUUUUCAGAGAGGGGAUGGCGAAACCGCCUCUCCAUUCAUCACCCCGGAGUGUCAUUAUAGUCACGUAUUUAGGAAGACAAACAGAGCAAAUAGGGAAAAAAUGACACUGUUGUAUAAUGAGUACAUUCUAUCAUCCCAUUCACAAGUUCUUGGAUUGAAAAUCAAAUACAUGAGAUGGAGCUCAAUAGAGGACUAAUGCAUUCAAAUUGAAUCAUUGGCUCCAGUGAAAGGGAUUCAUGCCAAUCUGGAGGAACAUGUCAUUACAUUUAGGAAUACUGAAAAGAAAAGGCAAUUGAUUUUGCCCAUCAGCCAAACCAGUCCAUUCCACCAAGAUGUAUCAAUGGAAUUAGUAUUUCUCUAAUCAAAUGGAUGUUGCCACAUAAGCCACACAGCAAGACGACGGGGGGCCGAUCCGACUGUCUUUCAUCCAACCGAUGCCUUCUUCGUGCAACGGUUCCCUAGCAACCCCACCCCUCUGUACACGGACACACCCCACUCUAUCCAUCACAUAUGCACAUCCUCUGCCGGGUCUCGGCCCACUUUCUCUUCAUCAAGCAUCAGACUGGAAAGCAGACGUGAGAAGGACAUAAUUGAAGAUUCUUCCGUGUGUGUGUGUGUGUGUGUGUGUGUUUGUUUGUUUGUUUGGUGGCUGUCAUCAGUCUCCCUCCCCGGCUGAUCAGAUUCCUGUCAGAUGUGGGUCCCAGCAGGUGUUUGCACUCCUGCCUGGGCCCACUGGAGCAUGGAGCCAACCAUUUCUCAGACGGGCUCAGCCCAGUCCCAGCCCGGGACAGCUUGAUUAUACCCAGGAUAAACGAGCUGGAGGUGUGCCAGCCAGGGGAAGUAGCCAUGGAGAGAGGGCAGGACAUACAGCAGGAGGCAGACUUGAAGGAGGUGAGUAUACUUAAUAAUCUGCUAAUGGGACUGCCAUCAAUUUCUAAUUUUGGAUGCAAGGUGCUUAGAACUGUCGUCACUCAUGUCUCUUUGAAUAGGGCCAAAAGGGAUUCAGCUGGGUCACAGCUACUGUGAGGAAUUGAUACGGGCGAAGCUCAUGAGCUGAAAGACUUUACAGGCCUCGUGUUAGCUGCUUUACUGGCGCUAGUGAAGAGACAGCAGAGCCUGUGUUACCGUAGGAUGAAGCCAGCGAGGAGCUGGACAAAGUCCCUUACUAUAAAAAUGGGAAGUCGAGCCUGAUACAUGACACGUACUGUAUCAAGACCACUGGUUUCCCAGAAGGGUGAGCCUGAAGCAGGCGGGUCCACAACCACUCAAAUAAUGGAAAUCUUGCAUAAUCCCAACACAAAUCAACUACUGUACUGUAUGUGUUUCUGGACAUCAGUUGCUGGAGUUCAGAAUUUCACCAUGGAGUGAUUCCAUUAUUCAUUCAUCCAUUCAUGUAGCCCAACCCUAGAAGGCUGCAGGGAUUUACUAAGACCUUUAUUCACAGUGCUUGAAGGAAACCUGUGCUACACAGUGAGCACCGUGCCCACGAGGGCUGUUUAAGUCUGGCCAUUCGCCGGAAUGGCAGCACACAUCUGCUGGCGAACCUCAGCCAGAUGUUCCCUUUCGCCGCGAGUAGAGCCGUGACGCUGAUUCACCCUGAUCUCCAGUCACUCUGCACACGACGGAGAACGCGCCGACUGAGUUCGGCUGGAACGCAAGCCGGCACAUAAUGUGCGGAGCAGCGUGGUGUUAUACUGUACUGUACGUGUGAUUUUCCUGUAUGAACAGCAGGUACUCACCGCGGACUCGGGCCGGGCGCUCUCCGCUCCCUCUGGAUGGUGCCGGGCGCUCCCCAACGCAAACAACAACAACAACAGAUUGAAAAAGGAAAAUGGAACAUAAAACAUAUCUGUACAAAUAAGUGCUUACCAGCAAGAGACAGCAUGUGUACACCCACAGGUAACAUCAUCUCCAAUAAAUGGAUAUUUGAUCAAUUAUUGAAAUCCUAC